rnacentral:sRNA from 1 species
GCUGGGCUUGGUGGCACACACCUGUAAUCCCAGCAGCUCAGGAGGCUGAGGCAGGAGGAUCAUGAGUUCAAAGCCAGCUUCAGCAAAAGUGAGGUGCUAAGCAACUGAGUGAGACCUUGUCUCUA